CCAAGGGCAAUAUUUUCUCCUCACCGUCCCUGUUCUCUUCCCUCUUCCUUCCAGCAGCCGCCGCUCCGCCGCUUCCCAAUCUCCUCCCCUCACCGGAAAGUCCGGAAUACAAGCUUCUCGCCCCAUUCUUCAUCCCGACCUUCCUCUGUUCUUGAACUCUUCUCCCCGUCCCCAAAGGCACCGCACCAGCAGCCGUCCUCUGCCGCAACCACUGCCCCCUGUCGCAUGUGCUGACCGCCGCUGUCAACUGCCUCCAUUUCCAAACUCACCCUGAUAACUCGACCACCAGUUUCAAAGUAAGGAUACUUUUGCCUCGGCCGCUCGCGGACCAUGCCUCAUACGCCGUCGCCGUCGCCAUCUCGGCCCUCCAAAAAGGGGUCAUCGGCUGGAAUAGUCGUCCAUUUUCAAUUCGGCCGAGGUAGUGGAUAAUUAUUGCAAUGGUACCUUCGGGGGCGAAGUGAUUGAACUCAUUUCACCCUCUGGCUCGUCGAGAGUCCUCGCGCAGGUGAUAGGCGUUGGGAUGCAGAUCUUCCGCUUCUAAGGUGCUCCCCAGUGGAACCAGAUUUGGAUUGGAACGGUAGUGGGGCUGUAUCAGCCUAACUUCUGAUGGUUUCCUGGGUACACUGGGCUUGUUGGGGUAAGAAGUUGCUGCUAUUUUUUUGCUUGAAGGGGGAACCGGUGGAUCAUAGUUCUGUUGAGAAGGUUAUAGUCUAUGGUUGGACACGCAGACAAUCGAUCUUUACAAUUUUUUAAUUACUUAUUCUAUCAUUCUAGCGUAUAUAGCUCGGGUUGAAAAUAAUACUUCCUCCAUCCAUAAAAGAAUAUCUUAGAUUUGUCUAAAUUUAGAUGUAUGUAGACACUAUUUAAGGCAUCCUUUUAUGGACGAAGGAAGUAUGUGGCUUAAUCGGAUUCAUAUAACUGAAAAAAUAUUGUACUUUGAUGGAAAAGAGUUCAGAUAGUAUCAAGAAUUGAUCUUGACUGCUGAUACGAUCGCACAAUGUCUAUCCUUUAGAGCUACUUUAAGUUUGUGUUGGAUUAACAUAUAUUGUGAAGCAUGGUUCAGAUUGGUGGUUUCCUCCUGAAAGGUGCUACAUGUUUGUUUGGGGUAUGGAGCAAACUUUAUCGUGCAAGCUGAGUUCAGAUGCUAACGUGGGCACGGAUGAUCUGAAUGAAACUCUGAAACCCCCAAUUUGAAAUUCAAAAAGGGGUGCCAGGAGGUGGGACAACUGCUUUGGGGUUCUUGGUCGUACACUAUAUAUUGAGCAUCUUUGGGCUAGAAUGCUCAUGUUAGUCUCUUGGAGGACGAAAAUCUCCCUGACUUAUUCGUAGUUUCAUCUAUGGUUUCUAUUAUAAUUCCUUUGUAGAGGUGACCUACUGCCUAUGAUGAUUGUUGGCAGUAGUAACCAAAAUUGAUUGUGACCCCUUGUGUGUAUGAGGGGUUGGUCAAGUAGAAAUUAGUGGUCGUAGAAGCAGGUUCAGGUAUUUUACUACCCUGAAAUGAGGUUUGGUGCACCAGGCCUACGACCAUGACCUGCAUUUCUUUAUCCCUUUUAUGCCGUAUUAGCAUAUGCAGACAUAGUUUAUGCUUAUAAUAUUCACACACAGGCAUAGCUAUGUAGUUCUACUAAAUGCAGUUAAUGGCUUUAAUAACCAUAGCCAGUAGAUAUUGUUGAAUAUUUUAGUGAGCUAAUGUCGAACUGAGCAAAUGGUGUGCUUGGAUGCUCUGAUAUUGUGAACUUUGGUUUCACCUUCAAAUCAGAUUGUAAGUUGUACCUCCUCUACAACUGUUCUUAUUAGUCUGCAUGUAUAAGCUAGCAGAUAGCUCUGUCAUGCUUAAAAUGUUCAGAUGUCUGACUCUUACAUGUUACCAAUGUUGAGCAAAUACUAAAGUUGCAUAUAGAGGAUAUAUACUUAAAUAGUGUACAAUACUUUGUCAUCCAUCCAACCGAUGAAAUAAUUCCUCUGGCAUUGCCCAACUGAGCCUGGGGAUUAGAAUCAAAUACUCCAACUUUCCUCUAUCAGGGAUAGUUCCUCCAGCAGCUUCUAAUAAUGUUUCUUUCGGCUUGCACAAAACGCUUGAGAUGAUAUAAGUGUGUCUUCUAAUAGUUUGCAGCCAUCUAUUUCAAAGAACAUGACAUUACUAUAUCCUUUGCAUUAAAAAAUUAAUUGUGUCUACCAUCAUAAGAAUAUGCUAUUAAAAACAGUUUUACUUGAUCAUGAUACAAGUGCUAAUGUUUUUUUUCCUGAAUUGGAAAAAAAUUCAAAGCGGCAAAAGCAUUUGAGAUUGUCUGCACUCUGCCUACCUCUUUCCCAAGAUUAAAUUUAUGUAUUUACACUGUAUCUACAAAUUAUUCACUUACUUUUCUGCCUACUUUGAGUUUUCCGCUUUUAUUAAUGCCUUCUCUAUCUACUGUAAUUUUCCAAUCUUCAGGCUUACUUCGUAUCGGAUGUAAUUAUAGCUGAUAACAAACACUUCAGUGACAUUGCCCAACUGAGCCUGGGGAUUAGAAUCAAAUACUCGCAACUUUCCGCUAUCAGGGAUAGUUCCUCCAGCAGCUUCUAAUAAUGUUUCUUUCGGAUUGCACAAAACGCUUGAGACAAUAUAAGUCUGCCUUCUAAUAGUUUGCAGCCAUCUAUUUCAAAGAAUAUGACAUUACUAUGUCCUUUGCAUUAAAAAUAUAUAUUGUGUCUACCAUCGUAAGAAUGUGCUAUUAAAAACAGUUUUACUUGAACUAUGAUACAGGUGCUAAUGUUUUUUUUCCUGAAUUGGAAAAAAAAUUCAAAACGGCAAAAAAUAUAUUGUGUCUACCAUUGUCUGCACUCUGCCUACCUCUUUCCCAAGAUUAAAUUUAUCUAUUUACACUGUAUCUACAAAUUAUUCACUUAUUUUCUGCCUACUUUAAGUUUCCCUCUUUUAUUAAUGCCUUCUCUAUCUACUGCAGUUUUCCAAUCUUCAGGCUUACUUCGUAUCGGAUGUAAUUAUAGCUGAUAAACUCUUCAGUUAUAGUUUGAUGAGUAGCAAAUGGUCAUGUGAUACCAAACAAAUUAUGAUAGGGUAAUAACAACACUUUAUGAUUUUUGGCAAAAAAAGAGGCGUUUCAGUAAAAAAAUGUCUGCACAAACUUAUUUUCGAAUUGUACUGCAGCUGAAAGUUGCAAAUUUAGGUUAGAGCAACUGUGUUUUCUUAAAAAUGGGAGAACUAUCACCAUUUUAUGUGUCAGAUUUCAGCCAAGAUGGUCCUGGGACAUCAUUUUGAAGGCAGAAAGGUAUGCGCAACCCCUGGGGAAUGACAGAGGUGGCAUGUUUGACUACAAAGCCGACGGCUAGGCGAGGUUGCGUCUGGAACUCUGGACUGCCAGAAAAGCAACUUCGAGAAGCCCACUCCGAUGUGUGUCACCACCUGCGCUAUCUUCUUUUGCCUCAUCUCCUUCGCUUGUGGCAUGUAGCAUAUGUUCUUCCUAUUGGGAUCCACAAAUGGCAAGUUAUUCAUAUGGGGCCGGGGCAUAGCUCACAUUUCGAAAAAAAAUGUUAGAGUUUUGAUGCUGCACCAUGUGAUGAUCCGUUCACAGGUGGCGGAUUGUUCUGAUUAGGAGCAGAUUUGGGAAGGUAAGCUUAGGUUGAGAGAAUUUUCGUUCUGAUGCAUUUCCAUGGUUCCAAAAUUUAUGUUAUGAUGGUUAUUUGCACAAUUUUGCAGAAUGAGAUGAGGAAACGCUGCUUGAAAGUGUCUGAAUUUUUAGUCUACAAAGACUAGGAAUUAGGAGUGCAGAGUGUGUGAGAUUGUUCAACCAUUGAUGCUUUCCCUUUAUGAGUUGUCCCUGUUCGCCUUUUCCUAUUCUGACUUCAGGAAAGCUAACAUAACCCUUUGAGUUUUGCAACAUGAUUAUGUUUGUAACAUUCAUGCACAAGCAUAGCUGUGUAGUUCUACUAAAUUCAGUUAAUGGCUUUAUUAACUGUAGACCGUAGAUAUUGUUGAUUAUUUUAGCGAGCUAAUGUCUAACUGAGCAAAGAGGGUGCUUGGAUGCUCUGAUAUUAUUGACGUUGGUUUCACCUUCAAAUCAGAUUUAGGCAAGCUGAACCAGAGGGGGAAUCAGCACAAGUGAAGGAGCAGUGGUCCGGAAGCUGUUUUGAUGCUUACUAUCUCAUGGUUGAGGUGGGUCAGAUUACAUUCGUGUUUUAAUUCUCUUGUUCCUGCUCAGGUAUACCUUUAUGCUAUCUAAUGUUGGGUCUUUUGAUGAACUAAAGCUACCCAACAUUGCAAAGAGAUUGUUGCUGCACUCACGUACAAUAUCGCUCCCAUCCCAAUUGUCGAUCCCUGUUCAGUUUUCUAAUUUGUGGGUAAUGCAUGUUCACUGCCCUUGUGAGAUAUAGGUUGCUGAUAUAUGAUGGCAUUGUAUACUUACGAAGCACACCACUAAAAAUCAUGAUCCUAAAAGUAUGUAUGUAGAUAGCUGUUUAUUCUUGAUAAGCCUUCCUCCACUUUUGUCGUUGCACCUUAGAUAACUGAGCAAUGCAUGUAUGAUCGCUUAUAUAUGGCAUACGAAGUUUUUCUCUACCUUCUUACCAUCACAACUCUUAGUCCUUCUCCAGCGUAGAUGGUUCUACUCAUAUGCAAAGAUAUUCAGUUUCAUUGGCCUUGAUUUCUUAUAUUCUUUUUUGUCCUUAUGAUUACGAGACUAGACAAUAAUGGUGUUCUUGGAGGGUCUGAUACACUGGUUCCCAUGGACAUGUUUGAGAACUAUGUGCAUGUAUCACCGGUGGGCUCAUGCUAGGCAAGCAAUUAUAGAACAGUUUGUCCUUUUAAUUGUAAUUGGUACUGGCUGCAUUACUUGCCUUGUUGA